rnacentral:rRNA from 1 species
UACGGAGGGUGCAAGCGUUAUCCGGAUUCACUGGGUUUAAAGGGAGCGUAGGUGGGCUGGUAAGUCAGUGGUGAAAUCUCCGGGCUUAACCCGGAAACUGCCGUUGAUACUAUCAGUCUUGAAUAUUGUGGAGGUAAGCGGAAUAUGUCAUGUAGCGGUGAAAUGCUUAGAUAUGACAUAGAACACCGAUAGCGAAGGCAGCUUGCUACACAAUGAUUGACACUGAGGCUCGAAAGCGUGGGGAUCAAACAGG